rnacentral:rRNA from 1 species
ACGCUCGACACCUACUGGAGGCAGCAGUGGGGGAUAUUGCACAAUGGGGGAAACCCUGAUGCAGCAACGCCGCGUGAAGGAAGAAGGUCUUCGGAUUGUAAACUUCUGUCCUCAGGGAAGAUAAUGACGGUACCUGAGGAGGAAGCUCCGGCUAACUACGUGCCAACAGCCGCGGUAAUCUGAGCGGGCUGGCAAGGC